rnacentral:rRNA from 1 species
AUUGAACGCUGGCGGCAUGCCUUACACAUGCAAGUCGAACGGCAGCACGGGGGCAACCCUGGUGGCGAGUGGCGAACGGGUGAGUAACAUAUCGGAACAUACCCUAGAGUGGGGGAUAACGUAGCGAAAGUUACGCUAAUACCGCAUACGAUCUAAGGAUGAAAGUGGGGGAUCUUCGGACCUCAUGCUCAUGGAGUGGCCGAUAUCUGAUUAGCUAGUUGGUGAGGUAAAGGCUCACCAAGGCGACGAUCAGUAGCUGGUUUGAGAGAACGACCAGCCACACUGGAACUGAGACACGGUCCAGACUCCUACGGGAGGCAGCAGUGGGGAAUUUUGGACAAUGGGGGCAACCCUGAUCCAGCAAUGCCGCGUGAGUGAAGAAGGCCUU